UGCCAGUCGAACGCUUCUUUUCUACCGAGUGCUUGCACUCAUUUGAAAAGAGGAGUGGCGGUACGGGUGAGUAACACGUGGGUAACCUGCCCAUCAGAAGGGGAUAACACUUGGAAACAGGUGCUAAUACCGUAUAACAGUCGACACCGCAUGGUGUUGAUUUGAAAGACGCUUUCGGGUGUCACUGGUGGAUGGACCCGCGGUGCAUUAGCUAGUUGGUGAGGUAACGGCUCACCAAGGCGAUGAUGCAUAGCCGACCUGAGAGGGUGAUCGGCCACACUGGGACUGAGACACGGCCCAGACUCCUACGGGAGGCAGCAGUAGGGAAUCUUCGGCAAUGGACGAAAGUCUGACCGAGCAACGCCGCGUGAGUGAAGAAGGUUUUCGGAUCGUAAAACUCUGUUGUUAGAGAAGAACAAGUAGGAGAGUAACUGCUCUUACCUUGACGGUAUCUAACCAGAAAGCCACGGCUAACUACGUGCCAGCAGCCGCGGUAAUACGUAGGUGGCAAGCGUUGUCCGGAUUUAUUGGGCGUAAAGCGAGCGCAGGCGGUUUCUUAAGUCUGAUGUGAAAGCCCCCGGCUCAACCGGGGAGGGUCAUUGGAAACUGGGAGACUUGAGUGCAGAAGAGGAGAGUGGAAUUCCAUGUGUAGCGGUGAAAUGCGUAGAUAUAUGGAGGAACACCAGUGGCG
rnacentral:rRNA from 1 species